GACAGAGGGUGCAAACGUUGUUCGGAAUUACUGGGCGUAAAGCGCGUGUAGGUGGCAAGGCAAGUCGGGUGUGAAGCCUGGCUCAACCCAGGAAGUGCACUCGAUACUGCCUCGCUAGAGUCCGGAGAGGUUGGUGGAACUCUCGGUGUAGAGGUGAAAUUCGUAGAUAUCGAGAAGAACACCGGUGGCGAAGGCGGCCAACUGGACGGUGACUGACACUGAGACGCGAAAGCGUGGGAGCAACAGGG
rnacentral:rRNA from 1 species